GAGUCUGUGAGUUAUAAAUGAUGAUAUUUUGCAGCUGGGUAGAUGUGCAAGGUGAAUAAGAGUGAGGAUUUGAGGAUGACAGAGAGGCUGAAAACCUAGUUAACUGGAAGGUUGUUGAUAUCCAUUAACAGUUUACAGAUAUUUGUGAAGGUUGGGAUUUUGGGGAAAUAGAAUUAGUGCAAUUUUAGAUAUGGUUAAUGUAAAUAGAGUGACCACAUGGUUAAAAUAAGCAUUAAUCUUUUUCUAUACAGAGGAUAGAUUGGAAUAGAGACUUGAAAGGAGAGAGACUUGGAUUAGGAGGAUUAAUUUGCUAGCUGUUGACAAUAGCUGAAGAAAUGAGGUACAGAAAUAAGCAUUUACAAAGUACCCACCCUGUGCCAAGCUGUAUGAAUACAGAAACAAAAGCAAAAUAGUACUGAUCUCAGGACCUGACAGUAUCCUAAAGAAAAAUGAUUUGGACAUGUAAGUAAAUUUGGAAUCUACAAGGAACAAAUAAGAUAAGUUUUUUUUUUGUUUGGAGGUUUUUUUUUUUUUUUGCUCUUGGGGAAAGAUGCUGGGUAUUAAAAUUUUAAAAAUUAAAAUGCUAUUUAUUUUUUUCUUAUCAACAAGUAAUUAUUGAGCCAAGUAUACUCCUAAGUGAUGGGGAUACCAAAUAAUGAAUAAACAUUUCUUGCCUUUAGGGAGUAUACA
rnacentral:lncRNA from 1 species